rnacentral:piRNA from 1 species
UGUUCUAAGCUGAUGGCUUCUCUUUCCUU